rnacentral:rRNA from 1 species
UACGUAGGGAGCAAGCGUUGUUCGGAUUUACUGGGCGUAAAGGGCGCGUAGGCGGCAGAUCAAGUCAGCUGUGAAAUCUCCGAGCUUAACUCGGAACUGUCAGCUGAUACUGUUUUGCUAGAGUGCGGAAGGGGCAAUCGGAAUUCUUGGUGUAGCGGUGAAAUGCGUAGAUAUUGGGAGGAACACCAGUGGCGAAGGCGGCUCACUGGACCGGAACUGACGCUGAGGCGCGAAAGCGUGGGGAGCAAACAGG